CCACAUCACGUUGAAAAACCAGUUCCCAGAUAAUCACUGAAGUUAAGCAAUGUCGAGUCUGGUUAGUACUUAGAUGGAUGACAGCUUGGGAAUAGCAGGUGUUGUAAG